UCUGAGGUGGAACAGCAGC
rnacentral:miRNA from 1 species